rnacentral:lncRNA from 1 species
CACGCUGACGCAGCUCGCCAACGCAUGGGUCGACCUUGUGCUGGUAGGCACGCACACACAUUUCCCGCGAACUCGAUCUCUGGUGGAAGAAAUGGCAUGAGUGGCAACCUUGGCUAUAAAUUCCAGACUUUCCUUCAGUCCAGGCACUUGAAUUUCGGAAGAACAUUCGGUGUUGUUCAGCUACUGUACACCAUGACUUGUCAUAUUUUUUCAGGGUGGUUCCAAGAUCCAAGAAGCGCGCCUCAUCUUCCAGGACCUGUCCGAGAAGUACCCGACGACCUGCACGAUUCUUAACGGGAAAGCCCUGUGCUCGAUGCACAUGGGCAACUUCGAGGACGCGGAGGGGUUGCUGCUCGAGUCACUGAACAAGGUCGAUCAGCUCCGGUGAUCCCAGCCCAGCUUUUCGCCCAAACGAGCAUUUCCUUUGCAAAUAGGAGUAGCCAACCACCAUAGCUGCACUGCUGAACGCACGCCUGUACUGUACCUGCGCACGCCAAUGCUGUGCGCCUGUGCAUUUCUGAAACAGAAUCCUUGACAUGUCUGUCUGUGCUUACACGGAACUGCUCAA